rnacentral:lncRNA from 1 species
UUGAUAAAUGGAUUUAAUUUAGUAAAUUUACAUGACUGGAAUUUACUUUUUUGACCAUUAAUUGACAUUGGAUUGAAACAUUAAAACAAACAUCACCACAAACAAAUCAUAAAGUCAGCUUAUUAAUCCCAGUAAUUAUCGCAAGAAGCAACAGUCGAAAGAAAUAAAAGAUUCGUUGCUACAAAAAAAGAAUGUGGUAAUUAGUCAAAAAAUUAUUGUUGAGAUAGACUGCUUAAAUGAUCACAAAAAACCCCCUCUUGACAAGGUAUAAAUGCUAGAGUUGUCUUAAAUAGUCUUAUUUUAACUAUAACCAAUAGUUUUUGUAUAUUCAUAAAGUACCUACUCAAAACGGUGACGCCGUUAAAUCCUAAAUUGGGGCAUGUGGACUUUUUAGUCGUUGUAAAGGCAACUCGCCUAUGAAAAAAGAAGCUCUGAUAUAAAACUCUGAUAUUUGUUUUAAUUAGCUUUUAUAGCAGUAAAUCUUUUUAACAUUUCUUAGAUUGAGCUACUCUCACAAAAAAUUGAUCCACGCAGUUAAAAUUUCUGAAUACAUUAAGGAUGGUGUUUCUAAUGUUCGUGAGAUGAGAAGACUUUUAAAUAUUACUGUCAAUAAAAUGUUUGGAAAGAAAAAUCUUCCUUCUAGAACCAACAGAAGAUUUUAUCCAAGAACUGACGUAAUUCGUUCGCACAUGGUUAAAGAGCGUCUAAAGCAAAGAUACUCGAACAUCGACCAGGAUUGCUUAGAAAUCAAAUAAAAUAAUGGAAAGAAGCUGACUCAUCUGUAAAUAUCUAUUUUCGACCUAAAGAACGGGGUAACAGUGCUGAGCUCUUGUUUGUAUACCAAGCAUUUUGGCAAAAAAAACUGUUAAAAAAAUAUGGCAAUGAGAUGUUGUUUUUGGAUGCAACAUACAAAACGACACGAUAUUCUUUACCUUUGUUUUUUUUGGUUGUCAAAACAAAUUGUAACAACCUUUGUAAGCAAAAGUGAAACUUUUGAAUCGAUAUCUGAAGCACUUGUUAUCUUAAAGUCUUGGAAUAAAGAUUUGCAACCUUUUUAUUGUAUGACUGAUUAUUGUUAUGCUGAGACACGUGCUCUCGAAACUAUUUUUAUUGGAUGUAAGAUAUUUAUCUGUGACUUUCACAGAGAACAGUCUUGGGACCGUUGGCUAAAAAAGCUAUCAAGUGGUUGCUCUAACAGAAAAGAUGACAUUUUAUGUAUUUUAAGACAACUUGCUUAGUCAAAGUCAAGUGACGAGGAAGAAAAUGCUUUAAGAAUAUUGGAACAGUCUAAAUUCUGGAGUCAAGAAAGCUUUACUAAGUUUAAACAAUAUAUAGAAAAGUAUCAACUCCCAAUUAAAAAAAGGUGGGUUUGGUGGUACAGGCAAGAUUGUCUUCUUAUUAAUUGCAAUACAAACAAUGGUGUGGAAAGGCAGAAUGAGUCUUUCAAAUUUACUUAUUUAUAGCAACAUAAAAACUCAUCAUUGACUGGAAUGUUAACUUUGCUUAUUGACGACUUUUUUAUUGAUAAACUUGACAGCUAUAUUAAUUCCAACUUUAAAAUGGAUGCACGUUACAGAAGGUAUGCACUUUGGGUGCCAAGUUAUCUUUACAACCGUCCUCAUAGCUUUGUUAAACAUUGAUUAACAAAAAAAAGUAACGUUGAGAAUCUUGAUUUGUCCAGAGUAAUCAUGAUUAAACAUGGAUUUUUUGCUGUAUUAAGUUCUACCAAGACAGCUUCUAAAUAUUUUGUAUUAUUUGGUGAUGAGAUUACAAUGCCAAAAUGUACUUGUUUAAAUUGGAUAUUAAAUGCAUAUUCAUGCAAA